rnacentral:rRNA from 1 species
CCUACGGGGGGCUGCAGUAGGGAAUAUUGCAUAAUGGGCGAAAGCCUGAUGCAGCAACGCCGCGUGUGCGAUGAAGGCCUUCGGGUCGUAAAGCACUUUUAGAGGGGAUGAGGAAGGACAGUACCCUCUGAAUAAGCCUCGGCUAACUACGUGCCAGCAGCCGCGGUAAAACGUAGGAGGCGAGCGUUAUCCGGAUUUACUGGGCGUAAAGCGCGUGCAGGUGGUUUGGUAAGAUGGAUGUGAAAGCUCCUGGCUUAACUGGGAGAGGUCGUUCAAUACUGCUAGACUUGAGUGUGGAAGAGGGAGGUGGAAUUCCGGGUGUAGUGGUGAAAUGCGUAGAUAUCCGGAGGAACACCAGUGGCGAAAGCGGCCUCCUGGCCCACAACUGACACUCAGACGCGAAAGCUAGGGGAGCGAACGGGAUUAGAUACCCCUGUAGUC